GGCACCCAUCUUGGCAUUAUCCAACUUCCCUUCUAGUAAGUUCAAAAAUAGAGGUAGUUCUACUUAGAGAUCAAGAACAAUGAACAAGACGACAGCAUUUGCUCUAGUGUUUUGUGUAGUUGGUCUAUUGAUGGUCGGCAACGACGCUUAUACUGGUUUGUUUAGACCAAAAACAGAGGGCAGGAAGAAAUCUAUCAUUCCAGAAAAUUUACCGAAUGAUAGCGCAGAGAAGUUUCAAGAUGCCUUGGACUACCUGUGUUCUCUAGGACCCCAUGCAAGGAAAAGAUAUCAAGACGAAUAAAUCGAAUAUAGAUAACAGAUUAACUGACGACCAGUAACCCUCCAUUAGAGCUCUAUUAACAAGCUAAUGUGAACUGCGUAUGUGUAGAUUGACACGUGACUAUUGUUCACGUGAUAGUAAUACUUAUAUUAUGGAAAAUCCUCUGUGAUAGUGGAGGCAACACCCUUAGUUUUAUUAACUGUUAAAAUCUAAGCAAAGAGAGAUGACUUGCAAUUAUGGACGUAUAAUAUUUAGCUAAUGAUAGCUCUAUAUUUAACAAUGAGAUAAGCGAUAAUAUUGUAUUUAUUCAAAACGUUUGAGUUCAGAAGAUAAGCGAGAUAAAUGAAGGGCAAUGUCAAUAAUAAAAGUGAAUAAAAAAAUUAUCGACAGCAA